rnacentral:sRNA from 1 species
CUUUAACAAUCCGGAACAAGCUGAAAAUUUGAAACAAUCAGUGUUAUUGCAUAAUGACAUUGAUGAGUCUCUCAAUGACUCCAGUCCGAAGACACCUUCGG